ACAGGUAAUAUAUCAUAUCUACUACUAAUACAGGUAAUAUAUCAUAUCUACUACUAUAACUGAAAAAAAUAUCCCAAUGCCCAGGGCAGAGAUUGGGGACAUUACCCUGUGUAAGGUGCUAUCUUUCAGAUGGGACGUUAAACGGUUGUCCUGACUCUCUGUGGUCACCAAAUAUCUAAUGGCGCUUUUCGUAAGAGUAGGGGUGUUAAGUGUCCCCCCCAGUGUCCCGGCUAAAUUCCCAAUCUGGCCCUCAACCGAUCAUGGUCAUCUAAUCAUCUCCAUCUUCCAAUUGGCUGAUUCAACCCCCCUCCUCUCCUCUGUAACUAUUCCCCAGGUCGUUGCUAUGAAUUAGAAUGUGUUCUCAGUCAACUUACGUGUUAAAAUAAGGGUUAAAUAAGAAAAAUAUAACCCUCCUUUCAUCCUCAACACGAGAUUCUCCAAGUAACACCUCUGUGGCAGUCAGUCCUUGUAGUGAUAUAGUGGAGGGCAGUUCAGUGACUCUGACCUGCAGCAGUGAUGCCAGCCCACCUGUGGACAAAUACACUUGGUACUUUCAAAAUAGGACUUUACCAAAUGUAUUUGAACAGAUCUACAACAUCACCAACUUCAGGUCUGAAGACAGUGGACAUUACCACUGUGAGGCCUGGAAUAAAAUGACAUCUAAGAACUCUACAGAUCUGAUUAUUAUAACAGUUCUGACUGCAGUUGUAGGAAUCACAGUGGAUGUUCUGGUUCUCAUCCUCUGUGUCUCUGGCUUCAUGUGGAUCAGGAAGAAGGACUCCAAAUCCACCUCUGACAUUAAGGACACAGCAGACGAUGGACAGACUGUAGUCCCAUGUAUGACAACAUCUCAGGCUCUGCAGCACAGAGAGCAGACAGAGGAGAGCAGGAUGACAGUCACUACACCAGUGUCCACUUCUCUGGCUCCAAUAACCAGGAAGUGCCUCUGCAUUCCACUGUUCAACUGCCUCAACCCCAGAAAGAGGAUGAGGAUGUCCAGCGUGAUGCUGUGAAAUUCUACCAUCCCAGUGUUGCCACCCGACCUCUCUCACAGGAAGCUGAGGAGGACCUCUCUGUGUUCUAUAGAACAGUUAACAAACCCAGAACCAAGAAGACCUGAACACAAGAUGAUCUCUGCUGUGUCCCAAAUGGUACCUUGUUGUCUCUAGUGUAAUAUGUAGUCGUGGGCUCAUGGCUUGAGACUGAGCUUUGCUUUGUAUAUCUGAAAGGGAACAAGACAAUACCAAACUUGUCAUUAAGCAGUAUUACUUUAGCUCUUUGCGUGAGGUUUAGCGAGAGGAAAAUGUUGCCCUUAAUGCUUUAGGUCGUCACGGGUGGUGGCACAACAAAUUGGGGAAGAAUUACUGUAGCUUCAGUACUGUUAACGAUUAAUGUACAAUACUAUAUAGCCACACUGUUAUUCACUUCAGAACCUAUUCAGACUUUAGAUAAGUUGACUUCACAUGGACAUGAUUCCAAAAUCAAGUCCAAAAUUGUUGCCUACUUAUCUCAAGUCUGAAUUGGGCCAAAGAUACACAUCUUGCUAUUAAUAAUGUAAAAACAUUUUUUUUAAAUAAUUUAGUG